UCUUGACAUCCACAGAACUUUCCAGAGAUGGAUUGGUGCCUUCGGGAACUGUGAGACAGGUGCUGCAUGGCUGUCGUCAGCUCGUGUUGUGAAAUGUUGGGUUAAGUCCCGCAACGAGCGCAACCCUUAUCCUUUGUUGCCAGCGGUCCGGCCGGGAACUCAAAGGAGACUGCCAGUGAUAAACUGGAGGAAGGUGGGGAUGACGUCAAGUCAUCAUGGCCCUUACGACCAGGGCUACACACGUGCUACAAUGGCGCAUACAAAGAGAAGCGACCUCGCGAGAGCAAGCGGACCUCAUAAAGUGCGUCGUAGUCCGGAUUGGAGUCUGCAACUCGACUCCAUGAAGUCGGAAUCGCUAGUAAUCGUGGAUCAGAAUGCCACGGUGAAUACGUUCCCGGGCCUUGUACACACCGCCCGUCACACCAUGGGAGUGGGUUGCAAAAGAAGUAGGUAGCUUAACCUUCGGGAGGGCGCUUACCACUUUGUGAUUCAUGACUGGGGUGAAGUCGUAACAAGGUAACCGUAGGGGAACCUGCGGUUGGAUCACCUCCUUA
rnacentral:rRNA from 1 species